GGUUGAGUAACUUGCCCAAGGUUUCACAGCUAGGAAGUAAUGGAGCCCAAAUCUGAACUCAUGGGUGACUGCCUCCAGUGCAGAGACAGGGCCUGAAUUGAGUAGGACCUUGAAGGACAUACAGGUGUAGACAGAGGAAGGAAAGCCUGGAGGCUUCAUACAGAUAAAGAUGUCUACAUUGGGAACGAUGAGGAGAGCAAAUGCUGGCAGAGAACAAAGACUGCUUCCUUUAGUGCCUGAGGGACACAGCCAAUAUCAAAGUCGAUGAAGAAACAGAUUGGACUUGUCAGG
rnacentral:lncRNA from 1 species